rnacentral:rRNA from 1 species
ACGUCGCAAGACCAAAGAGGGGGACCUUCGGGCCUCUUGCCAUCAGAUGUGCCCAGAUGGGAUUAGCUUGUUGGUGAGGUAACGGCUCACCAAGGCGACGAUCCCUAGCUGGUCUGAGAGGAUGACCAGCCACACUGGAACUGAGACACGGUCCAGACUCCUACGGGAGGCAGCAGUGGGGAAUAUUGCACAAUGGGCGCAAGCCUGAUGCAGCCAUGCCGCGUGUAUGAAGAAGGCCUUCGGGUUGUAAAGUACUU